rnacentral:rRNA from 1 species
AGUGGCGGACGGGUGAGUAACGCGUGAGAAUCUGCCUUGGGGUCGGGGACAACCACUGGAAACGGUGGCUAAUACCGGCUAAGCCGAUUGGUGAAAGAUUUAUUGCCCGAAGAGGAGCUCGCGUCUGAUUAGCUAGUUGGUGAGGUAAGAGCUCACCAAGGCAGCGAUCAGUAGCUGGUCUGAGAGGACGAUCAGCCACACUGGGACUGAGACACGGCCCAGACUCCUACGGGAGGCAGCAGUGGGGAAUUUUCCGCAAUGGGCGAAAGCCUGACGGAGCAAGACCGCGUGAGGGAGGAAGGCUCUUGGGUUGUAAACCUCUUUUCUCAGGGAAGAAGCUCUGACGGUACCUGAGGAAUCAGCCUCGGCUAACUCCGUGCCAGCAGCCGCGGUAAUACGGAGGAGGCAAGCGUUAUCCGGAAUUAUUGGGCGUAAAGCGUCCGCAGGUGGCGAUUCAAGUCUGCUGUCAAAGCACGGGGCUUAACUCCGUAAAGGCAGUGGAAACUGAAUAGCUAGAGUGCCGUAGGGGUAGAGGGAAUUCCCGGUGUAGCGGUGAAAUGCGUAGAGAUCGGGAAGAACAUCGGUGGCGAAAGCGCUCUACUGGACGGCAACUGACACUCAGGGACGAAAGCUAGGGGAGCGAAUGGGAUUAGAUACCCC